ACUUCACUCACAAUCCUAAUUGUUGGAUGUUAUUAAACUCCACGACACUCAUUCCUUGAGAUAUUGGCUAUUUUUUUAUGCCAUGUCUAUGGCUUAAAUCCAACAAGACUUAUUCGAAUUGUUGUAAACUCUAGCAGUUAGUAUGAAGGAUUACCUAGUGUGAAUUAUAAGUCGUAAU